rnacentral:rRNA from 1 species
AAUGAACGUUGGCGGCGUGGAUUAGGCAUGCAAGUCGAGCGCGAUAGGUUUGGUGCUUGCAUUGAACCUUGAAAGCGGCGAAAGGGAGAGUAACGCGUAGGGUACCUACCCCUGGGUUCGGGAUAGCGGCGGGAAACUGCCGGUAAUACCGGAUAAUGUCCCCGGACCAAAGGUGUGAUUCCGCCUAGGGAUGGUCCUGCGUCCUAUUAGCUAGUUGGUGAGAUAACGGCCCACCAAGGCAAAGAUGGGUAGCGGGCGUGAGAGCGUGACCCGUCUCACUGGGACUGAGACACUGCCCAGACACCUACGGGAGGCUG